UACAGAGGUCUCAAGCGUUGUUCGGAUUCAUUGGGCGGAAAGGGUGCGUAGGCGGCGCGGUAAGUCGGGUGUGAAAUCUCGGAGCUUAACUCCGAAACUGCAUUCGAUACUGCCGUGCUUGAGGACUGGAGAGGAGACUGGAAUUUACGGUGUAGCGGUGAAAUGCGUAGAUAUCGUAAGGAAGACCAGUGGUGAAGGCGGGUCUCUGGACAGUUCCUGACGCUGAGGCACGAAGGUCAGGGGAGCAAACGGG
rnacentral:rRNA from 1 species